rnacentral:rRNA from 1 species
UACGUAGGGAGCGAGCGUUGUCCGAAGUUACUGGGCGUAAAGCGCGCGUAGGCGGGUUUGAAAGUCGGAGGUGAAAUGCUGGGGCUCAACUCCAUGCAGUGCCUCCGAUACUUCAAGUCUUGAGUGCGGUAGGGAGAAGUGGAAUGGCUGGUGUAGCGGUGAAAUGCGUUGAUAUCGAUAGGAACUCCGGUGGCGAAGGCGGCAUACUGGACCACUUCUGACGCUGAGGCGCGAAAGCCAGGGGAGCAAACGGG